CCUGACUGCUAUCGGAUUGAUACUAAGCCAUGCGAGUCAUUGUAGCAAUACAAGGCAUACGGCUCAGUAACGCGUAGUCAACCUAACCUAUGGACGGGAAUAACCUCGGGAAACUGAGAAUAAUGCCCGAUAGAACACUAUACCUGGAAUGGUUUGUGUUCCAAAUGAUUUGUCGCCAUAGGAUGGGACUGCGGCCUAUCAGUUUGUUGGUGAGGUAAUGGCCCACCAAGACUAUUACAGGUACGGGCUCUGAGAGGAGUAGCCCGGAGAUGGGUACUGAGACACGGACUCAGGCCCUAUGGGGCGCAGCAGGCGAGAAAACUUUGCAAUGUGCGAAAGCACGACAAGGUUAAUCCGAGUGAUUUGUGCUAAACGAAUCUUUUGUUAGUCCUAGAAACACUAACGAAUAAGGGGUGGGCAAGUUCUGGUGUCAGCCGCCGCGGUAAAACCAGCACCUCAAGUGGUCAGGAUGAUUAUUGGGCCUAAAGCAUCCGUAGCCGGCUCUGUAAGUUUUCGGUUAAAUCUGUACGCUUAACGUACAGGCUGCCGGGAAUACUGCAGAGCUAGGGAGUGGGAGAGGUAGACGGUACUCGGUAGGAAGUGGUAAAAUGCUUUGAUCUAUCGAUGACCACCUGUGGCGAAGGCGGUCUACCAGAACACGUCCGACGGUGAGGGAUGAAAGCUGGGGGAGCAAACCGGUUUAGAUACCCGGGUAGUCCCAGCUGUAAACUAUGCAAACUCAGUGAUGCAUUGGCUUGUGGCCAAUGCAGUGCUGCAGGGAAGCCGUUAAGUUUGCCGCCUGGGAAGUACGUACGCAAGUAUGAAACUUAAAGGAAUUGGCGGRGGAGCACCACGAGGGGUGAAGCCUGCGGUUC
rnacentral:rRNA from 1 species